GAUGAACGCUGGCGGCGUGCCUAAUACAUGCAAGUCGAGCGAACAGACGAGGAGCUUGCUCCUUCGACGUUAGCGGCGGACGGGUGAGUAACACGUAGGUAACCUACCUAUAAGACUGGGAUAACUUCGGGAAACCGGAGCUAAUACCGGAUAAUAUUUCGAACCGCAUGGUUCGAUAGUGAAAGAUGGCUUUGCUAUCACUUAUAGAUGGACCUGCGCCGUAUUAGCUAGUUGGUAAGGUAACGGCUUACCAAGGCAACGAUACGUAGCCGACCUGAGAGGGUGAUCGGCCACACUGGAACUGAGACACGGUCCAGACUCCUACGGGAGGCAGCAGUAGGGAAUCUUCCGCUAUGGGCGAAAGCCUGACGGAGCAACGCCGCGUGAGUGAUGAAGGUCUUCGGAUCGUAAAACUCUGUUAUUAGGGAAGAACAAACGUGUAAGUAACUGUGCACGUCUUGACGGUACCUAAUCAGAAAGCCACGGCUAACUACGUG
rnacentral:rRNA from 1 species